GCCCUUCAAGUAUAUUUCAAGCUCAAUUUCUACAUCAUUCAUGAUUCAAGAGAGUUCAAGUUCACUAUCUAUCCAUACAAGAGAAUUCUAAACUUCUUCAAAUUACAUUUUUCAUGGUACAAGAACAAGAAUGAAAGUUGUCUACUUGUUUACACUUUCAACACCAAUCAAGAAUCAAAACUCCAAUUGAGUUCUUUCAAGAGAGCCAUUCAUCACUUUUCUAUUAAAUUCCAAAAUUACAAAGAAAUUGUCCACACAAGUUCAAGAAUUCAAUUUAGUCUUUACAAGGAAAUUCAUUCCAAAUUUGCAAGAAACAUAAUUCAAGACUACAAAAAAAAAAGAGUUCUCUACAACAUCAAGCCUAAAGUCUUCAAAUUACUUCAUUCAUGUCACAAAGAUUCAAACAAGUUCAUUCUACAUGUUACAAAUUUCUCAAGAUGCAAAGUUCUUGAUGACAAAAGGAUGCAAAGCUUCACAACUUCAUCCUCUAAACUCCAAGUGGUCACUAUUUCUUCUUCUCCAACAAUUCCUCUCCAUGCCAAUAACACCAUCACCACAUGA